UAUAUACUCCCUUCGUUCCACAAAAGAUGUCUCAAGUUUGUCAAAAUUUGGAUGUAUCUAGCCACGACUUAUGCAUAAAUGCAUUCAAAUAUAGUUAAAGUUGAGACAUCUUUUAUUGGACGGAGGGAGUAUAUG
rfam:Brachypodium distachyon strain Bd21 chromosome 5, whole genome shotgun sequence.